UCUAUGAAUAAUGAAUAAGGAUCAAGGCGGUGCCUCCGCCAGGGGCCAGGGGGCCUACUUAUAUAGUCCCCUCAAGUGAAUCUAGGCCGUCGGAUCAAACCGAUAUUAAUCGCACGGUUUUCCUUGAUCCUUUAGGUCGGUGGAGCACAAUCCGCGAGAUUGAUCGUCAUUGGUGGAAAUACCUGGGCGGGCGCCCUAUCUCUGAGCCCGCUCAGCUUCUCGUUCGUUCCCGUGGCUUCUGGAGUCUUCUAGAUGAUAGAAAAUUGCGCGGCACGUUAAUAUCUCUAUGUAAACCCGACGUGUGGGCCUUUCCUCCAUAUUUCCUGAUAACCCCCUGCAGAAAUAGACAAACACCAAAACUCAUGGAAUUUUGUCAGAUAAAACCCUAAGUCUGGGUGUUGGUUGCAUUUGGAUCCUUUUCUUUAUUUAUUUGAUGAUUAAAUUUGAUACUUAAGGACCGUCAACAAACUCCCCCAAGCUUACCUCUUGCUCGUCCCUAAGCAAGGAUGGACUCAAGAGUUUCUGUAGUAGUUUCAUGCCUUAAAGUUACACAUGCGUUCAAACAAGAUCUCAUCUCUGGGUUAGGGUAAACUGUUAAGACUUAAAACUUACUCAUUUUACCUUUCACCAUGGGGCUUGCAACCGUCACUUAUGUCUUGAGGAGUUAAAAGAUAGAAUGGUCAAGUCAAGAGCCAUGUCUCUUGUUCAUUCAUCAACUAUAGCUCUGGAGUUUUUGUAGAUUUUCAAAAUAAAACUUAGAGAUUCCUUGUAUGACUCUCUCCAUUCUCUCUUUUGUGGUAUUUCUGGAUCCUUACCAAGGCAAUGACGGUGUAUGCCUUCUCAAAGUAUGUGGUAUUUUUGGUAUGAGGCAUAGUGACAUUGCGUUCUCUCUCACCCUACUCUAAUAAGGUUUGAUAUCUGGAGCUCAUAGGUGGGAGACAGCUAAUACAUACUUACAAGGCAUUUAUUGCAUAGUCAAACCAUGGAUCCAGAGAAACAAGUUAAGAAGUCAAAUCAAGAUGUGCAUGUGUGGCGAAUGAAUGGUGUAUGGUGAUGAUGGUGAUAAUGGUGAAAACAAUGGUGAAAGUCUAAUUCUACUUUUGCUCUUUUGAGGGGAUACAUACCUUUCGUGCACUUUGAAGUUUUUUUUGAGGGGAAUGAGAUGCUCUAUAUUUUCAUUUUAUUUUUUCUCAGGUGGGUAUCUUGUACCCCUAAUUCUACUAUCGGACACUUGUCCAUUUUUACCUCUCGUCUCACUUUUUUUUCUUCGAGUUCCGGGCACUUGCCCCUUUUUAUUUCCUCGUAUUCACUUUUUCUUCUUCUUUUUUUAGAGCACUCAUCUCCUUAAAUAAUAUAACAAGUGGUAGUAACCAAGAUAACUCGAGCAUUUAUUUCAUAGGGAAAAACAAAAAUAAGAGAAUGUUUUUGGCUAUUCUCUCCCGGAUAGGAGUAGAAUAAUUUUGGGUGAAUCUGGAGAUGGAAAUGAGUGGAUGUAUGUGGAUACGUAAUUCCGAAGUAGAAGCAGCAUGUAUGAGUGAACGUGCAAGUGAAUCUUGAUUUUAACAGCAUGACAAGCUCCUAAGGGUCUACACAGCUUGACCACACUCAAUGCUCAUAAAUAGUAAAAAGUAAAUGUAUGGUUCAUAGUAUAAUAAGCAUGUAUAUAUGGCUGUGGUAGGAUUUUAAACUCUCAUCAUACAGGAACUCAUCAUGCAACAUUUUAAAGAUUUUCAAAGAUAAAAUUCUCCAGAAUUCUAGCAUCUCUAGGAACAGAUAAAUAGCAGCUCAACCUUCCCAUAUCAUAUCUGUUAACGACUUAGACUUUUGAUCAAGUACUCUUCCCACAAGUUUAGGUUUAGAGCAAAUCUUAAUUCAUAAUAGUCAUGCCUAAACUUGAGAGAGAUUUCAAUUUUGAGAACUAGUCAUGGCAGAGCCACUAUUCAUCAUUUCCAUGUGAGAGCUUAUCAUGAGGGUUCAUAGCAAACUUUAUUUAUUUAUUUAUUUAGCAAACUAAGCAAAGAUAUAUAUAAGCACAAAAUCUUUAUUUGGGUUUUUUAUGAUUAUGCAUCUAUUUAUUAUUUUAACAAAGUAUAAGUAUAAACGUAGAUAGAAACACUUAGCUGGAUAAAUGGGGGUGCUCCCCCCAAGCUAGAUUUUUAUGUAAUUUCUUCUGAUAUAGCUAGCAGGUGGCAGAGGUGUAUUUGAAUGUCGGCAGCACCCUGACAACAAUUAGGAUGUCCUCCGUCUGCUAGUCUUCUUUGAUCCUUGAAUUCUGUGGAGCUCAAAUAGACAACAAAGCUUUGUGGAACUGGUUAAGUGUUAGCAUAAAAUCUCUUAGCCGUUACCAUGUUGAGCUUCCUCUAAUAAAUAUUACUUUCUUUGGUAGGAUCAUAAAUUUAUUUUUAUAUUUUCAUUUUUAUAGGACAAGAAUAUUUUUAUUUUUAUGCCACCAUAGUGAAUGUACUUAUGGGUCUUAUGCCACGAGCAUACUCACAUGGCGCUUACUUUUUUUAACAUUUUUUAAUUUCUUUUCAAGAUAGCAUGAUUAACUAACAAGCUAUUUAAGGAAAUAAAUAAUUUAAGGAUAAAGGGAAUGUAGAAAGGAUAAAUAUGGAUAACUACUGAUUUUACCUUUCAGCGAGGGUUCAAUAUUUUAAGUGUUGUGAACAAGACUUCUCACCGUAUUCAUUCUUUAGGUGCAUCAUUUGAUUCAGGUGUGGACCUUGACGUCUGCACCUCUUGAUACGGUGUCACCCAUGUUCUUCGUUUGCCCAGCAGUUCGAAGUGUGACGUUGGCAGCAUCUAGCUCAGUGUGUUUGUGCUCAUAGAUCCAGGUCCUUCACUUGGUGGAAUCUAGGAGUUGUAAAACUCCACCAUGUUUUGCUCCAAGUGUUCCUGCUCAUAGAGACAAGGCAGAGAUCAAGUGCAUGGGCCCUGUUGGUGGAAAACACCAACAAAACUAAAAGUAUAUUUGUUCUUCUCUAACCUUAAGCAUAGUGAGCAAGACAAAUUUAAUGGAUAAUAAGAUCAUGAGUGUAGUAUUUAAAACAUUUGUCAGAUCAGAUCGCUCAUCCUAAUGGAAAGAUAAUCUAUCUAUAUUUAUGUUUUUAUAUAUCUUCCAAAGAUUGAGUGUGCAACAUUUUAGCUCAUAUGAUUAGGAGUGUGGGAUCACAAAGGUGGAAGGACUAAACAUGUUGAAUCGAUUGGGUUGGUUAACCUAGAGUUGUAAAUCAUACAUGUUUGUCUCUUUUAUUCACAUGAACGCCAGAACCAAGGAGAAGCUUAUAAAAGUGAUAGUCAAGUACCUUAAGAUGUUACCUUACU
rnacentral:lncRNA from 1 species